GCUGACAUGGCGUAAUUGGUAGGCGCGAGAGAUUCAAAAUCUCUUACCGUAAGGUGUCUGGGUUCGA
rnacentral:tRNA from 1 species